rnacentral:rRNA from 1 species
AGCGAACGCUGGCGGCAGGCCUAACACAUGCAAGUCGAACGAACCUUUCGGGGUUAGUGGCGGACGGGUGAGUAACACGUGGGAACGUGCCUUUAGGUUCGGAAUAACUCAGGGAAACUUGUGCUAAUACCGAAUGUGCCCUUCGGGGGAAAGAUUUAUCGCCUUUAGAGCGGCCCGCGUCUGAUUAGCUAGUUGGUUGAGGUAAUGGCUCACCAAGGCGACGAUCAGUAGCUGGUCUGAGAGGAUGAUCAGCCACAUUGGGACUGAGGCACAGCCCAAACUCCUACGGGAGGCAGCAGUGGGGAAUCUUGCGCAAUGGGCGAAAGCCUGACGCAGCCAUGACGCGUGAAUGAUGAAGGUCUUAGGAUUGUAAAAUUCUUUCACCGGGGACGAUAAUGACGGUACCCGGAGAAGAAGCCCCGGCUAACUUCGUG